ensembl:lncRNA
AGAUCUGGGAAAUACUGCAGCAAGCUCACUAAAGAUAUCUGCUUCUUGUUCAGAGACAGCAGCAUGACAAAGCAUCAGGUUAAAUAUAGUAUUUGAGAGAGAAACAUCUCAUAGUGACAAGAGUAAGCAAUCCAUGCCAGCAAAAUGCAGUCGUUAAACUGUGUGCGCGCAUCGCCAGGGACAGGACGCAGCAUCUCCAGUCUCUCCCAGAGCCUCUCAGCAGGCAGCACAAGGAAAAGGCUCCCUCUCUGAGCAAGUGCACGGUUUCUGUGUUCCGUGGCAAGGUGAGCCCCGAGAUCCCUCCAGCAGAGGGGAGUGCAGCCUGUGCAGCAGGAGAAGGGGAGAGCUUGGCAUCUGCACCAUGUCUGGAACAAGAUUCCAUCUUGAACAAGUAUCGGUGAAAAACACCAUGUUCCUUCUCGAGUCUCUUGGAAAAGCAGGCUGAGGUCAGCAGGCUUUCAGAGAGGGAAAUUUGGAAAGAAGCUGCUGCUAGAUGAGAUUAUUGCUAAAGGUACACAAGUUCUCACCUUUUGAAAGCCCUCCCCCAAACGUGGCUUCUCACGGGGACCAGCUAUGAGACACAUGGAAUCACAGAAUCAUUAAGAUUGGAAAAGACCUUUAAGAUCAUCUAGUCCAACCAUCAAUCCAUCACCACCCUGCCCACUAACCCACGUCAAACCUUACCUUGGGACGAAGAACAGUGUGCUGAGCAUAUCCUGCCAGAGUCCUCCUUCAGCCUUGCUUUUGAAGCAGCUGGUGCUGGAUGCUGACAAGAGGCAUACCAAGAUACAACAACCGCUUUGUGGUUCAUUUGUGAGCCUGUCAGCCAGUGACAUCCUUCUUCCAAUUUCCUCUCUCAGCAGCCAUAUAAUUCAUCUGGUCUGUGUGCACACUCUUGGCUCGUCUGCCAUCAACCAACAGAGCAGGGACAGUUUGGAGGACAUCUGCUCUGAACACAUUGGCCUGAUGCUGAAUGAUGGAACUAGUUUGUACUGACGAGGACUGACUCUUAAAUCUUCCCAGGUUGAAGACUAGCAGAAAUACAAGAGGCAAAAUUGUCCAUGUCAAGCAAAGGGAUAAGAUAACUAAGUGUUUUUACUCCUUUGCACCAAAUUGGCAGCGAGUAAAUACUCACCAGGUUUUCUCUACAAGCGAAGCACUUCAUAAAGCAGAUCAAAGCCCUUCCUGAAUCUCAACAAUAGUACGGCUCAUUUCUGAGUAACACAUCCCAUGGAGAGGUCUCCUUGCAGGCACAGCACCAGCCAAAACAGGAUUAGCAAGUGGUGGAAAUAAGCAGAAAUUUUCACACUUCUGAAAGCAAUAGCUGCUAGAGUAACUCACAACGUGCAAAGUGUCUUCACUCAGAAGAUUCCUAAGCUCAGAAAAAAAAAGGCUUGCAGUGGAAUCCCACACUGCCAAAAUGCCACCGCUUUUAAGGACAGCCUUUGAACCUGUUAAAUCGCAUUUCACAUUCUUGUUCCAACUCAUUCAGGGGCGCAUGGAAAGAAAGCUGACUGCAAGAUGCCUUGAGCUUGGUCUCCUGAGAUUAUAUAGAACGAAAUAGACUUUAUUGACUCAAAUACACUGCAAAUAUCUCACUGCCGUCUGUCCUUGUACACUAUUGUCAUUAUCCUUUUCAGGAACUACAGUGGAGAUUCCAACCAAAAGGAGGGUCCCAACAGGUAUCUGUGGAGCAACGUGUUGGUUUCCAUAGGAAACUGUCAGCAUCACCACGGAGAAAUAAUUUCCCUGCGCUGCCCUUAUGUGUUGACUGCAGAACUGGCAAAGACCUGAGGCUCAAAGCGGUUAGAGCAAAAACGAAAGUAUAGUGACUCUACAUUUUGAUGGCAUGUUUAGAGAUCUCCCUUGGCAGUCAGGAUGGGAAGACUGGAAAUAAAGGGGCUGCCCGAUGCAGAACAUUCCCUCACUGGUAACCACGUAUUUGUGCUUGUGCUGCAGUACAGAGGUUUCUUGCCUUCCUUCGCACAGUGCAUCCGAGGCAUAGUGUUAAAUAAAGCGCCUCAUUUUAACAUUGCAUGAGUUGUGCCCUUGCCUCCAUGCCCUCCACUUUAGGCAGAUAUGAUGUAUAUGGGAGAUGGGACUGCCGCGGGGAACUCUCUACAGACUCAUAUGGCAUUUGUCAAGUGAAUGACAGUGCUAUCAGCACUGGGACUGAUCCUUACCAGGUGUAAACUGUUGGAGCCGCUUACACCAAGACGUUUCCAGGAAAACAAAUAAAUCAAGCAAGAAUGGCAGCAGGGUGGGUUUUUUCUUUUUUCUUGGCAACCAGCAGUUUAUUUUUUUCCAGCUGUGGUUUUCUAGUUCUAGAUGACAACUCAAAUAUUUUCACUGAAAACAAAAUUUUCAGGGAAACCCUCCAUCUCUUUUACUUUGUUUCCAAAAGCAAAACUUUCCUUCAACAACACCACAACCAGCCUAAAGACGCUUCUGGAUCCUCAAGUUGCACCAGGGGAGGUUCAGGUUGGACUCAAGAAAGAAUUUCUUCUCAGAAAGAGUGGUGAUGCAUUGGAACAGGCUGCCCAGGGAGGUGGUGGAGUCACCAUCUCUGGAGUUGUUUAAGGAAAGGGACUUGGUUAGUGUGCAAUAUUGGAGGUACGCGAAUGGUUGGACUGGAUGACCUUGGAGGUCUUUUCCAGCCUUAAUCAUUCCAUGAUUCACUUGCUUCUGCUCGUUAGGAGUCUGGACUGGUGAGAUGUGGGGUUUCUAGCAGAGGAGUUCAAAACCGUCAUAUCUCCAGUGCUUUAAAUAAAUGAAGGCAGCUGUCUAAGCUACACGUCUAUCCUAGCCAAAAUAUUGCUCAUUCCAAGUGGAUUUGCUUCGUUAUAAAUCGUCUACAAAUAAUUUAAAAAGCGACAGCGUUUCUUAAAUUAUCUUAUCAAGCUCUUUAAAUAUUGAAAUGCAUCAAAUAUUAAUGUUUGGCAAUUCAGGGUAUCCUCAGUCCUGGUUGCUGCAGUACUCUGAUCAGCAUUUGAGCCAUCUUCUGCCAGUCCUAGGAUCCAGAGAGUCCCAUUUAGCCCUUUCGUGCGUGCUCAGCUCCAGGGGCACUCUUUGCAAGAUGAAAACAUGGAAGCUCAGAGCGCUGGGAAGGCUUCAGCAGGAGUGGAGUAAGGAAGGAGUCAGGCAUGAGCAGAGUCAACGUGCAAUGCUACAUGCACCACCUAAGCAUGCUGCUGGUUGCAGGAGUGAUCUCCAAGUCCCUCAGCACAAGAACCAGGAGUGUUCAGGGUUCAUCUACCAGCACUUUGUGGAGCAGACUGCCCCAAACUGCAGGCCUUGCUGUUGCCACAAGGCUUGCAACCAGGCAGAUAAUUUGGCAAGGCAUCAACAAGAGGGUUUUGAUGGAGCCCCUCUUUCCCUACUCUCAUCCCACCACAGUCCACUGUGUUGCAGCGGGGAUUCAGCAAAACAAACGCAUUCUUCUGGAACGCAUCAACUUAACCUAAUCAGGGGAGUUUCUGACAGAAAUAUGUUCCACUGGAAAAUUUCUGACCAACACUAAUUAGCGUUUUUUUCUAUUAGCUUUGUCCUGAAGGCAUGAUAAUAUAUGUCUUAAUGAUGGUGAAAUUAUCACGUAAUGAUGGCUAAGAAUUGGGCACUCCCCAGCUUUUAAGCAUCUCUGCUUAUCCUAAACGUAAAGGACUUGCUCACUUGCAGAGCCUUACAUACUUAACACAAGGAAAGAAUGGCUGCCCAACUUUCUUGCACUUUACCUGGGCAUGGGCCCAACUGCAUUUUAAUCAGUUUGCUUUAAGAAAAAAAAAAAAAAGGGAAUUGUGGAUUUUCACUUACAGUGCAGUAAGGUCCAAGUUACUUUGGAGACAAGCCUUGUGUAUGAUGAGAGAUAGAUCAUGCUUGAAGGGCUUGUAAGAUAGGUGGUAAUAAAAAAACAAGAAAAAAAAA